rnacentral:rRNA from 1 species
AUGGCGGAUGCACCUCUGUACAAGCAGCGCCGCAGGUACACCAGGGACCUCCACGACGUCGACCUCCACGGCAACCACAAGCUCAACGUCAUUUGCACAAGCAAGGGUGAAGACAUGGACGAGAUACUGUCCACGCUCAGGAGGAAGCUCGGCGGAAUGCCCGUCAAACUAAUCGGCGUUGAUGUCGAGUACACGCACUACGUGAAGCCACAGCGGGCAGCAGUGCUCCAGCUAUGCGUAGAAAAGGAAUGCCUUGUCUACCACAUCUCUGCAGCUAAAGACAUGCCAAUGGAACUAGACAAAUUCCUCAUGAAUGGUGAGUACACCUUCGUCGGGUUCAAAAUUGAAGGAGACAAAAGCAAGCUGAAGCUAUCUGGUUUGGAGAUUAACUCCGACAACUACAUUGAUAUUCAGGUGGAAUGGAGAGACCCAUACAAUAAAAAGAAGUUUGACUCUUUGGCUGAUGUUGCCGGCAGGAUGAUAGACAUUCACUACCAUGACAUGAAGAAAAAAAUUAACCGCAAGGAGGACCAUACUCUGUGGGGAUUUUGCCCACUGCCAGAAAAGCUUAUCAAG